rnacentral:rRNA from 1 species
CCUACGGGCGGCAGCAGUGGGGAAUAUUGGACAAUGGGGGCAACCCUGAUCCAGCCAUGCCGCGUGUGUGAAGAAGGCCCUCGGGUUGUAAAGCACUUUCAGUGAGGAAGAACGCCUGGUGGUUAAUACCCAUCAGGAAAGACAUCACUCACAGAAGAAGCACCGGCUAACUCCGUGCCAGCAGCCGCGGUAAUACGGAGGGUGCGAGCGUUAAUCGGAAUUACUGGGCGUAAAGCGCGCGUAGGUGGCUUGAUAAGCCGGUUGUGAAAGCCCCGGGCUCAACCUGGGAACGGCAUCCGGAACUGUCAAGCUAGAGUGCAGGAGAGGAAGGUAGAAUUCCCGGUGUAGCGAUGAAAUGCGUAGAGAUCGGGAGGAAUACCAGUGGCGAAGGCGGCCUUCUGGACUGACACUGACACUGAGGUGCGAAAGCGUGGGUAGCAAACAGGAUUAGAUACCCUGGUAGUC